GUCGCCAGUUAAGAGGAUUACUAUAUAUCAUUUGUCUUCUUUUCGCAGACAAUUCUCAGCAGAAAGAAACAUACACUUGGCAAAGGAAAAGCAGGUAAAAAAGAAAUUGAAAUUCUUACCGAAUACGAAAAUAGCUCUCAAGGAAUCUUAGAAGUGGUGGGACUACAGCAGACGCUCAACAUUGCAGUUGUGUUUGUGAAAGCAGAUUUAACAGUCAAUUGUUUGUAUUACAUGACGUUUGCUAUUAUUGUGACGUCUAUAUUUGCACAGGCAUUACUGGCGAUUUUAGUGGGUGCAAAAAUAUGGACACGAAAGGAUAUUAAACUUUUAAAACCUUUAAGGAUGAUGGCAAAUAAUGAUGGAACAAUAGAAGAUAAGAUCUUAAUGAAGCAAAAACGUUUGCGAUUGUUGGACUUCUUGUCACUGUUUCUAACGAUUAUUAUAACAUUUUUAACAACUGUAUUGCUUGCAACUUCCGGUAUGGUCGACUCCAGGUUCAAAGAUGAAGGUGCUAGAGACAUCUCACCGACAGAAUCAGUGGACUGAACGUAUCUUAUAUACACCCGGCGUUUAUUUUUUUAUUUUUUUUAUUAAUGUACCGGUACACAGCGGUGCACAGCGGCUGCGUAUGAAAUUAUGUUUUCCACGGAGAUAACUUACCGAUAUACGGACCCUUGAUAAUAUCGUACGUUAAUGACAUACCGUACUCGCGCGAAUAAGCGCCCGGGCGCUUAAAAUAUUUUUAGCACUUUUUGAGGGGUGCUUAUUCAAACGGGGCGCUUAUCAAAACAGAGUGGA